rnacentral:rRNA from 1 species
UACGGGGGGGGCAAGCGUUGUUCGGAAUUACUGGGCGUAAAGGGCUCGUAGGCGGCCAACUAAGUCAGACGUGAAAUCCCUCGGCUUAACCGGGGAACUGCGUCUGAUACUGGAUGGCUUGAAUCCGGGAGAGGGAUGCGGAAUUCCUGGUGUAGCAGUGAAAUGCGUAGAUAUCAGGAGGAAUACCGAUGGCGAAGGCAGGUCUCUGGGCUGACACUGACGCUGAGGCGCGAAGGCCAGGGGAGCAAACGGG